CGCGAACCGAAAAUUUCGGGUUCGCGACAUCACUAUUGAUGAAUAGUUUCUUGAGCAUAGUCCAAAUGUUUCAAAGAGAGUUUGAAUGUGGUCAAAGAGUAUGAAUGUUUGAAUGUCUGAGUCUUUGAGUGUUGAAUUUCAGAUGUUGCAUCAAAUGUCCGAAUGUCUGUGUCCCCCAAAGUGUCCCAAUCUUCCAUUGUCCUUACUUUUUAAAGGGCCAAACUCUCUGCACGUCACUAAUUGAUAGGACCAAUAGGGAACUGUAGGUGUGUCUACCCUACAGACUAUCAUCUAGCUUUUGGUCAGUAGAUGGCGCAAUUACAUCACCAAAAUUUCUUGUCAUGGGGUCCAUUUGCCAUUAUGCAUAAUGGGGUAACUGAAUUCCCACGAUGAAUUUGAUGUAAUUUACUUAUCUAUUUUAUAUCCCUAUAACUCAACUUUCCUGCCAAUUUCAAAGGCUUUACCCCAGUCUUCGUGAUGGCAAUUUCAAUCGUAAUUUAGAAUUGAUACCUCCUAACCUUAAUUUCACCCUUUUUCUUACAAUGGGACUUUGUAAGAUUUAGAAAGUAAAAUUAAUUACUAAAUGUUAUCUGUCACUUGUGUCU